rnacentral:rRNA from 1 species
UACGAAGGUCCCAAGCGUUAUCCGGAUUUAUUGGGUUUAAAGGGUGCGUAGGCGGGUUAUUAAGUCAGUGGUGAAAGCUCCCAGCUCAACUGGGAAACUGCCAUUGAUACUGAUAGUCUUGAGUAUGAUUGAAGUGGGCGGAAUGUGUCAUGUAGCGGUGAAAUGCUUAGAUAUGACACAGAACACCGAUUGCGAAGGCAGCUCACUAAGCCAUAACUGACGCUGAUGCACGAAAGCGUGGGGAGCAAACAGGAUUAGAUACCCUGGUAGUCCACGCCCUAAACGAUGAUCACUCGAUGUGUGCGAUAAACUGUACGCGUCCAAGCGAAAGCAUUAAGUGAUCCACCUGGGGAGUACGACCGCAAGGUUGAA